AUACGUAGGGGGCGAGCGUUGUCCGGAAUGAUUGGGCGUAAAGGGCGCGUAGGCGGCGCGGUAAGUCUGGAGUGAAAGUCCUGCUUUCAAGGUGGGAAUUGCUUUGGAUACUGCCGCGCUUGAGUGCAGGAGAGGUUAUCGGAAUUCCCGGUGUAGCGGUGAAAUGCGUAGAGAUCGGGGGGAACACCAGUGGCGAAGGCGGGUAACUGGACUGCAACUGACGCUGAGGCGCGAAAGUGUGGGGAGCAAACAGGAUUAGAUACCCUGGUAGUCCACACGGUAAACGAUGAAUGCUAGGUGUAAGAGGUAUCGACCCCUUUUGUGCCGGAGUCAACACAAUAAGCAUUCCGCCUGGGGAGUACGGCCGCAAGGUUGAAACUCAAAUGAAUUGACGGGG
rnacentral:rRNA from 1 species